UUUUUUUUAUAUGUUUAUGUUAGAUUUUGGGGUAUGGAAUGUAUCUCUUAGCUUAGGUGGUUCUGACGAGGUGUGUCCUGUUGUAUUUUGAACAUGAGGAUUUUGUACAUGUUACGUUGGUUAUUUAUAGAUGUCCGAUAACAUAUUGCGAGGGAUUUGCGAGGAACAGUGCUAUUUUGCUACGAAUUUGUGAGAGAAGUUCAACUACCAACCAAAGCAGGAAGAUUAUUUAAAACGUGCUGACCUAACCUGCCAAGGACUCGCAACUCCGACGCAAAAUUUGCUACAAAAAGUUUGUACGACGCAAGUUUACCGCAGGUUGCAAGGCUUUAUCGUACAGCAAAUCUCUCGCAAUUUGCGAUGACUUUGCGAGAAAUUCUUCCGUCGUUGCAAUUUUCUCGCAAUUGCCACGCAAUAUUGUGUGGGAAUUCUCCCUCGCAAAUUUUGCGACUGAUUAACGACGUAUUGGUUUUCCCGCGCAAAGUGCUCGCAAGUCUAUAGCAAUUUGCGAGGGAUUUACGCCAUCUCAAAUUUCCCUCGCAAAUCGCCUGUUUUCUUGUAGAUUGAGGGAGAUUUCAAAGAGAUAGAAGGAGACGGUGGAGAGGUUGAGAGAGAUUUCAAAGAGAUUGAGGGAGAGUUGAGAUGUGAGAGAAAUAUUAAGAGAUAUUUAAGGGUUUUGUUUUGAAAAAAAUAAGCGUAAAACUGAUUUGGAAAAAAGAAAUAAUUGACGCAUAAUUUUUUCGUUUUGGAGGGUAAAGUUUGGUGCCCGAUGCUUUUCCAACGGUAAAACUUUUACCCUCGCAAAUCCGUCAGAAAUAUAAAAUAUUUUUCUUAUACAUGUAUAAAGUCAUCAUCUCAUUUCCAGAUGAGUGAACUCGGCGUUACAAACACGCUCUUGAGAUACUUAUAACAUCGAUCAUUUCUUUUUCGUGACUAGUUUCCAUGUCCUUGGAGUGAAAUUUCUGUGAAUCUGCAUUGAGAAUUAGAUUUGAUAUAAUCUUGCUUGGUUUGACUUGAGUACUAGCUCACAAAACUUCAACCUAAGGCAAAUUUUCUAAA
rnacentral:sRNA from 1 species